rnacentral:rRNA from 1 species
CUGGAACGCGCUUCGGCGCACCCAGAAACCCUUUGUGAACUUAUACCUAUUGUUGCCUCGGCGUUAGGCCGGCCUCUUUACUGAGGCCCCCCGGAGACGGGGAGCAGCCCGCCGGCGGCCAAGUUAACUCUUGUUUUUACACUGAAACUCUGAGAAAAAAACAUAAAUGAAUCAAAACUUUCAACAACGGAUCUCUUGGUUCUGGCAUCGAUGAAGAACGCAGCGAAAUGCGAUAAGUAAUGUGAAUUGCAGAAUUCAGUGAAUCAUCGAAUCUUUGAACGCACAUUGCGCCCUCUGGUAUUCCGGAGGGCAUGCCUGUUCGAGCGUCAUUUCAACCCUCAAGCCUGGCUUGGUGAUGGGGCACUGCCUGUAAAAGGGCAGGCCCUGAAAUCUAGUGGCGAGCUCGCCAGGACCCCGAGCGUAGUAGUUAUAUCUCGCUUUGGAAGGCCCUGGCGGUGCCCUGCCGUUAAACCCCCAACUUCUGAAAAUUUGACCUCG